UACAGAGGGUGCGAGCGUUUAAUCGGAAUUACUGGGCGUAAAGCGUGCGUAGACGGUUAUUUAAGUCGGGUGUGAAAGCCCCGGGCUCAACCUGGGAAUUGCAUUCGAGACUGAAUAGCUAGGGUACGGUAGAGGGAAGUGGAAUUUCCGGUGUAGCGGUGAAAUGCGUAGAUAUCGGAAGGAACAUCAGUGGCGAAAGCGACUUCCUGGACCAGUACCGACGUCAGGCACGAAAGCGUGGGGAGCAAACAGGAAUUAGAAACCCCUGG
rnacentral:rRNA from 1 species